UCUUCAGUGAGGUACAUCCUUACCUGUUACUCCUUCAGGGGGGUAUCAGAAAAUGAUGAAUGGGGAGAAAUGAGAUAUGAUUAUUAUCUCCGCUCUGUAGAGAACCGCAACACUCUACAGAGACCCUUCUGAU